rnacentral:rRNA from 1 species
UGUGUAACCUGCCCCGAUGACUGGGACAACCCGGGGAAACCCGGGCUAAUACCGGAUGUGCUGCAUUCGCAUCAGCGAGUGUAGGAAAGGAAGCUUCGGCCUCCGCAUCGGGAUGGGCUCGCGGCCCAUUAGCUUGUUGGUGAGGUAACGGCUCACCAAGGCUUCGAUGGGUAGCUGGUCUGAGAGGACGAUCAGCCACACUGGGACUGAGACACGGCCCAGAUCCCGUAACGGGG